AAUAGGGUGCCCGAGUUUUAAGGGUUAUUUUGAUGAGAUAAUUACGGUCCCCUAAGGCCCUCUAUUU
rnacentral:tRNA from 1 species